rnacentral:rRNA from 1 species
UCUUAGUACGAGAGGACCGGAGUGGACGAACCUCCGGUGUACCGGUUGUGGCGCCAGCUGCAUCGCCGGGUAGCUGAGUUCGGUAAGGAUAAGCGCUGAAAGCAUCUAAGCGCGAAGCCGGCUUCAAGAUAAGGUUUCCACAUAAGGGUCGUAGCAGACUACUACGUUGAUAGGUUGCAGGUGUAAAGGCAGAGAUGUCAAAGCCGAGCAAUACUAAUAACCCGAAAUAUUUCUAAAG